GGGUGCGAUCAUACCAGCAGUAAUGCACCGGAUCCCAUUAGAACUUCGUAGUUAAGCAUGCUUGGGCGAGAGUAGUACUAGGUUGGGUGACCUCAUAGGAAGUCCUCGUGUUGCGCCCG
rnacentral:rRNA from 1 species